rnacentral:lncRNA from 1 species
AUGUUUAAGUUUUACAUUUCAGACAUCCCAAACAGCAAAGAACUCUUACAUGUUUUAAAAAAAUCCUGUGCUUACCUAAUAUAUACACAGCUGAACAGUUCAUCCUCAGCUCAAGAAUUCCUAAGGACAAUGGGAGUAUUAUCAAGUAAUCCACUUCUCCUUUCUGACAGGAAAAGCUAUGGAACACAAGUGUUUUGAUUGACAACUCUUUUGAGCACUGAGGCCCUCACUACCCAGAGGCGUUAGCAAAUGGGAAGACAGUGCAUGCACACUUUGAUUUCAUUCAGUGAUGAAUGCAAAUCACUUCCAAAGCUCAAACCAGAGACAGUUGUAACCAGUGCUGUACUGAUGGAAUGGCACUGUGUUUGUGGUAUCAGUGAAGGCAGAAGUCUCAGAUCAUGAACUCAAUUCCUUCCAAAGUCUCCAGGCCACACACAGAUUAGGUGUGGUCUCUGGCGUGGAUGAAACCACAGAGUCAUCGUCAUGACCAAAGGUAAUCUCUUGCUCUGUCGAAAUUAACUUGGCAUGUGUCACUUUAUUGAAUGAGUAAGGGUUUUAUGAAAGUAAAAGAGCUAUUUAGUAAAAUAUAUACAAGCCAUUUUUUUUUUUUGCAAAGUUUCUAGGUUCAUCAAGUUCAGUUUGGUAUUUCUUGGAAGAAAGAACAAGAAAGAAUUAAUGAAAUUCCCUAACAUUAAACUUUUAAUAUAUCAGUAGCACCAUUGACAUGUGGCUUUUACAUCUUUAACACUAAUCUGGCCUGAUAUGAGGAAGCUACUGAUCCAUUUUUCAUGCCUAAAUAAUUCUAAAAUGACUCAAGUUUUUGUUUGUAUUCCCAGAUUUUCUCAGCCAAUUCCCUAGACUUUCAGACUGUGAGCAAAAGAUGCCUAUCCAACUAGCAAAUUCAAUGAAAAACUAAAACCCCUCAAAACAUAUCCAUCUUACCGUUGGGUGUUGUUGUGACAAAAUGACUGUUGAUUGAUGAUGGCUCUUGCUUCACUCCACUGAAGUGCUGCAUAGUCA